AGUGAACGCUGGCGGUAGGCCUAACACAUGCAAGUCGAACGGCAGCACAGUAAGAGCUUGCUCUUACGGGUGGCGAGUGGCGGACGGGUGAGGAAUACAUCGGAAUCUACUUUUUCGUGGGGGAUAACGUAGGGAAACUUACGCUAAUACCGCAUACGACCUACGGGUGAAAGCAGGGGAUCUUCGGACCUUGCGCGAUUGAAUGAGCCGAUGUCGGAUUAGCUAGUUGGCGGGGUAAAGGCCCACCAAGGCGACGAUCCGUAGCUGGUCUGAGAGGAUGAUCAGCCACACUGGAACUGAGACACGGUCCAGACUCCUAAGGGAGGCAGCAGUGGGGAAUAUUGGACAAUGGGCGCAAGCCUGAUCCAGCCAUACCGCGUGGGUGAAGAAGGCCUUCGGGUUGUAAAGCCCUUUUGUUGGGAAAGAAAAGCAGCAGGUUAAUACCCCGCUGUUCUGGCGGUACCCAAAGAAUAAGCACCGGCUAACUUCGUG
rnacentral:rRNA from 1 species